rnacentral:tRNA from 1 species
GGGCCCGUAGCUCAGCGGCAGAGCAGCGGACUUUUAAUCCGAUGGUCGUGGGUUCGAAUCCCACCGGGCCCCCCA